AAGACAGCCUAGGAGUCUAUAAAAUAUGUGCUGACGAGACUAGGACGAAACUAUCCUCAGUUGAGGAUAGUCCACU
ncrna:unclassified sequences RAGATH-1-hammerhead ribozyme sequence